AUACGUAGGGUGCAAGCGUUAAUCGGAAUUACUGGGCGUAAAGCGUGCGCAGGCGGUUUUGUAAGACAGUGGUGAAAUCCCCGGGCUCAUCCUGGGAACUGCCAUUGUGACUGCAAGGCUGGAGUGCGGCAGAGGGGGAUGGAAUUCCGCGUGUAGCAGUGAAAUGCGUAGAUAUGCGGAGGAACACCGAUGGCGAAGGCAAUCCCCUGGGCCUGCACUGACGCUCAUGCACGAAAGCGUGGGGAGCAAACAGGAUUAGAUACCCUGGUAGUCCACGCCCUAAACGAUGUCAACUGGUUGUUGGGGAUUUAUUUUCUCAGUAACGAAGCUAACGCGUGAAGUUGACCGCCUGGGGAGUACGGCCGCAAGGUUAAAACUCAAAGGAAUUGACGGGG
rnacentral:rRNA from 1 species